AUUGAACGCUGGCGGAAUGCUUUACACAUGCAAGUCGAACGGCAGCACGGACUUCGGUCUGGUGGCGAGUGGCGAACGGGUGAGUAAUGUAUCGGAACGUGCCCAGUCGUGGGGGAUAACGUAGUGAAAAUUACGCUAAUACCGCAUACGAUCUAUGGAUGAAAGCGGGGGAUCGCAAGACCUCGCGCGAUUGGAGCGGCCGAUAUCAGAUUAGGUAGUUGGUGGGGUAAGGGCCCACCAAGCCAACGAUCUGUAGCUGGUCUGAGAGGAUGACCAGCCACACUGGAACUGAGACACGGUCCAGACUCCUACGGGAGGCAGCAGUGGGGAAUUUUGGACAAUGGGCGAAAGCCUGAUCCAGCCAUUCCGCGUGCAGGAUGAAGGCCCUCGGGUUGUAAACUGCUUUUGUACAGAACGAAAAGGUUUCUACUAAUACUAGGAGCUCAUGACGGUACUGUAAGAAUAAGCACCGGCUAACUACGUGCCAGCAGCCGCCGUAA
rnacentral:rRNA from 1 species